rnacentral:rRNA from 1 species
ACAAGCGGUGGAUGAUGUGGAUUAAUUCGAUGCAACGCGAAAACCUUACUACCCUUGACAUGUCCGGAAUCCUGCAGAGAUGCGGGAGUGCCCGAAAGGGAAUCGGAACACAGGUGCUGCAUGGCUGUCGUCAGCUCGUGUCGUGAGAUGUUGGGUUAAGUCCCGCAACGAGCGCAACCCUUAUCAUUAGUUGCUACGCAAGGGCACUCUAAUGAGACUGCCGGUGACAAACCGGAGGAAGGUGGGGAUGACGUCAAGUCCUCAUGGCCCUUAUGGGUAGGGCUUCACACGUCAUACAAUGGUCGGUACAGAGGGUUGCCAAGCCGCGAGGUGGAGCCAAUCCCAGAAAGCCGAUCGUAGUCCGGAUUGUUCUCUGCAACUCGAGAGCAUGAAGUCGGAGUCGCUAGUAAUCGCAGGUCAGCAUACUGCGGUGAAUACGUUCCCGGGUCUU